rnacentral:lncRNA from 1 species
AAAAUAUCACGUGAAUUUUGCCUGUUUCACAAUUCCUUCCCAAUUUCGCCAAUCCUAAAUUUUCUCUCCUUAAUUUCUCUUUUAAUCACACCAUCGCUGCUACUGUUGCCGACACAAGUUCUUUGCCGGUCUAUCUCCGGUCAACCUCCACCACCAUCAUCACUGAGUCUUCCUUGCUCGACAUUGCUCACAUGAUUGAUCGAGGGUUUGUUCCCUAUCAUCAGUAGUAAGUUAUUUCCUCUCAUCCUUCUCUUGAUAGCCACGUUCCCUAUCAUCGGUGGCUAGUUACCAUCGCCGGCACAAGGUAAGCUUGUUAGUUUCAAUGUUGCUGAUGUAUUUGCGGGUUAUUUCUUCUUUCCCACCAUCACUGUGCCUCAUUCAAUGACUUGUCAAUAUUUCUGGUUCCUCAUUUUACUCUUAUUGCUAGUUUUCAAUUCCUUUAAUUUUGUAGUUUCCGUUGAUUUUAUUUCUGCAAUUUCUUUAUUGAAUUGUCUAAGCACUGUAUUAUAACUUAUGGGUUCUGAUUUAGUUUAUCAAUGUCAUGAAUGCAGAGGCCCAUUUGUGCCUAGUAGGUUGUCUAGUUCACUUUGUGUAUGGACUUUUUAUGCUAGGAUUCUUAUAAGCUUAUUAUUCAAUAGUUAUGCAAUUAUGUUUCUGUUUUUAACAUUAUUAACUUUGAGGCUGUUGAUUUUGCUGCUGAGCUGCAAUUUUACUGAGUUAACUUAAAAUUUUUUUUCAUCAUCUAAGAUAAUACUUGAGGGGUGUUGUAGAAUGGUAGGAGUCUUUCAUAGCAGCUAAUGAGCUUCUGCAAUCUUCUGCCUCUUUUGCAAUCUUCUACAAUUUUACUGAGUUAACUUUAAUUUUUUUUUUUGUAAUUCUUUAUAAUCUUUUCAUCCUCUGCCUAUUAUGCACUUGAGCUCUUUUUGAAGAGAUGCAAUAAGAUGAAAUUACUUGUUGCCAAAUAUUUCUCUCCCAUCGAUGCCUCCAAUUAUUGGUUACUCAUAAAAUCCUAAGUCUAAACUGAAAAAGAAACCUAAAAUUCACUUAUUUGGUGUCUUAAUGAAGGCUAAAUGCAUAAAAUUAUCAACUUUUGUCAAGGUUUUGAGAUCAUAAGCAAUCCAGCAUCUGGAUGACUGUGUGUGAUAGAAAUAACCCAAACACUUGCAAUCUUUGGUGCAUUUGCUGCUGCAAGCAUCCUGAUUCAUGGGUCCAUUUCCUCGUGUACUUGGACAUGAAAUGAUCAACUCCUCCUAGUUUGUAGUAUUUAAAAUAUUUCACUCCACAUGAAGAUAUUUUUGCUGGCUUGCAAUCUUUGCUCCACCCCAACAAGCCUUUUGGUGAUGGACAAGCAACACAUUGAUUAUCCUGGCAUAGCCCAAAGUUCCCACAUCUUUCUGGCAACUGGCAUUCUGUUUCAAUAGAGUCUCUCGAAAACAAAGUGUUCCCAAGCAUCUGAAUUUGCAUUAUCUUCAUAAGUGUGUAUUCUAAGGUUUUCAUCCAUUUCCAACCGAAGAUAAGACAAUGUGGUAUUGUAUUUAGGCCUUCUCAGAUUGAGUUCCUCAUAAGAGAAAUUAGGACCAUGGAAUUCUAAGUAUAAAUUUAAGCUUAUUGCCACUUGAUUCAAAGGAGCCUUUGGUGCAAUAAAUAAUUCAGAAAAUGAGACGUAAAGGAAUGGUUUUACUACAACAUAAGCAGCAGCAACUGCAGGCACCUGCCACAGCAGCAGCAACGGCUGCUGUGCAGCAUAGAAGCAGCAGCAACAACUGCAGCUGCGAGCAUCUACCACAACAGAUUUAAGAAAUAGAUUAACAGAGUUGAAGCAUAAAAUAUCAAAAGUUUAGGUUAAAAUUUACUUUGGUAUUGUUUGCGAUGAUUAUUAAUUACUUUGGUAGUGUAGUUUUUGAUAUAGAAAAAUUCAUAGUUGCUGAUCUUGGUUAUAGUUCAAGUUAAAUUUCUUAGGAAAUUAAUAAAUCAAUUAGCUCAUUAAUUCUUUAACAAGAGCAAUUAUCGUCAUGUUAAAUUCAAUUAAUGUGCAUUUAAUACUUCAAAAUUCAUUUAACACUUCAUUGAUGUUCUACUAUUUGGUUAUUCUUUAACACUUCGAAAUUCAUUUCACAUUAACUUUUAAGCAUAUUUACCUACCACAUAUAUGUUGCCAGAUAGAAGCUAGAUGUUUUUUCAGUUGAAAGAGUGUUUAUUGGAUCCCAUAUUCUUGGAUGAGAUAAAUGAAUUUAUUUAGACGGCUAAGAACUUUCCAGGUUGUUAUGGUGAUAAAAUUUUCAUUGUCUAUACAACAGAUUUAAGUGUCAAAAUCGUAGCUUCUAUGAUGAAAAUACCAUCAAGUAUCAUUUGAUGAAGCAUGGUUUUGUAUAAUCUCAAAAACUUUCUUUAAGUGAUUUAUUGGCUAAGGUUAAUUAGCGAGUGUUUUCUAAUUAAUUUAAACCUAAGGAGAGAUUGGUCAUGUGGAGCGUCUUCCAUAACUAUAACUAAUUUAUUAGAAUGAAUAAAAGUGUUUUUGUUUCGAUGAUCAAUUCCCAAACUAAAAGGAAUCCUACACUUCAACUAGAAUUUGUUUAUAUUGGUUUAUUUCUCUUUUAAUUAUCGUCUUCUUUAAUUUCUUUCAUUUUUAUUUUAACUCAUCAUCAAAACUCCCUUUUUACUUUUAUUGUUUAUUUUCCUAGUUAAUGUUUAGAAAUUCUUAGUGUCAAUUCCUUGUGGAUUCGAUCUUAUUCUCUCUAUAUGCAAUUCAUAUUUGUUGGUUCUUAAUAGGUUAUUUUGGUAGCUUUGACACCCAUAAAAAAUUAGCGUCGUUGCUGGAAAAUUGAUUUAAACUAACCUAUUUCCUUUCAUGACCAAGUCGGAAUGUAAAGAAAAUUUGCUUUACGACCCAGAAAUUGAACGUACUGCCAAGAACUUAAGAAGACAAGCAAAUACGAGCAACCAAGCCUCAAAACCAUCUUCAUCUGCAACCGGUGAAGAGACAACAACAGUCCUGGAUCUUGUUGUACAACGAGUUGCAGAGGUGACAAACCCUGCCGCAGCAAACACAUCAACUGUUGCACCAGAAGUACCCCACGAAUAUCUGCAGUGGGUAGACUAGAACCAGUACCAGUUGAAGUCGAAGUUGAACACAUUGAAGUAAGAGCUCCAAUGGCACAAGAGAGAACUCUUCGUGAAUUAGCAACCCUUAUGGGUGAUCAAGCACCAUUGUGCAUCACUUUCUCACCUCUGGCAGUCUCUUUUGAGUUUAAAACUAGAUUAAUUCAUCUUCUUCUAAAAUUUAGAGGCCUAAAAAAUGAAGAUCCAUUCAAACACCUCAAAAAAUUUCACAUUGUGUGCUUAACCAUGAGGCCCCAAGGUAUAUCCAAAGAACAUGUUAAACUAAAAGCCUUUUCCUUCUCCCUUGAUGAUUCGACCAAAGACUAGUUAUUCUACUUACCACCCGGAUACAUUACCUCAUGGGUUGGGAUGGUAAGGGCCUUCUUGAGUAAAUAGUUCCCAACCUCAAAGGCCAUUGACAUCAGGAGAGAGAUUAGUGGUAUCAAGCAGAAGGAUUUUGAAGAACUAUAUGAAUAUUGGGAAAGAUUCAAAUGGUUGUGCACAAGCUGCCCUCAACAUGACAUCUUUGACAAAUCUCUCAUUGAAUACUUCUACGGAGGUUUGUUACCUUUAGAAAUGAGAUUGAUUGAUGCAGCGUGUGGAGGAUCAAUUGAGGACAAGACACCUCAAGCCAUAAAAGACUUAAUCUCCACUAUGGUAGCAACCUCAAAACAAUAUGGAGAUCAAAGGGAACCGCCUAGGAGAGUUAAUAAGGUAAGUACAUCUUCCUUAGCCUCACAGAUUGCUGAUUUAAUAUCUGUUGUAUGGAGUUUGGUUGUAGGUCAAACUCAACAAGACCCUGUGGGAUCUAUCCACGGUAGGACAUCCAACUGACAUGUGUCUUUCUCUUCAAGAGGAAGAGCAGCAAGUCAAUUACAUUGGGGGAUUUAAUGGCCAGAGAAAAUUUGAUCCAUACUCCAACACCUACAACCCAGGAUGGAGGGAGCACCCGAAUUUCAGUUAUGCUAGGGCAAACCAAUUUCAAAACUAUCAGCAAAGGAAUUCUGCCAAACAGUCCCUCAAAAAUCAGGUAUACCUCUAGAAGAGAUCGUAAAAUCUCUAGCAAACACAAUUCAGAAUCUAGAAUAACAAAUCAGUCAAGUUGCCACAUCAGUAAGUAAGUUAGAGUCGCAAGGGAAAUUACCAUACCAAACGGAGAUCAACCCAAAAUAGAAUGCCAAUGCUAUAACCUUGAGAAGUGGGAAGGAACUGCAGAGUGACAAACUGGAAUAGUGAUUUGCCCAAACCUUUAGGCAAACCGUUGAGAAAGAGCUGCAGAGUGAUGUCUUUGAGUCGUGAUUUGCCCAAACCUUUGGGCAAACCACUGAGAAGUAGGCUAAGGAGGCUACACUAGAAUAGUAGAAAGCAGACAAAAGGAGGCCACCUGACCAAUUCAAAAUUCCCCCAUCAUUUCUAGAAAGGCUAGCAAGGUCCAAAAAGGAAAAGGAAGAGAAAGAAAUACUUAAAACCUUUCGCAAAGUGAAGAUAAACAUACAUUUACUAGAUGCCGUAUGCCGUCAAGCAAAUACCUUGCUAUGCAAAGUUUUUGAAGGAACUAUGAACCAGCCGCAGGAGACUUGCUGAACAUGAAAAAGUGAGUGUAGGAGAAUGUGUUUCGGCUGUUAUCCAAAGAAAACUUCUUGCCAAGUGCAAAUACCGAGGAAUGUUUGCUGUUUUAUGCAAGAUAGGUAACAUUGGCGUAAAAAAAGUCAUGUGCGACCUUGGGGCAUUAAUCAACGUUAUGCCCCUCUCCAUUUAUGAUUCAUUGAAUGCAAGAAUACUGAAAAGCACCAGCAUCGUCAUUCAGUUGGUCGACAGGUCCAUUGUCUAUCCAAAAGGCGUCCUAGAAGAUGUUUUGGUGCACGUAGAUCAGUUGGUCUUUCUAGCUCAUUUUUAUGUGAUUGAGAUGGAGGACAAAAGCAAUGCAACAUCAGACAAUUUACUUGGGAGACCAUUUUUGAGCACGGCCAGGACAAAGAUAGAUGUGUAUGAUGGUACACUAACCAUGAAAUUUGAAGGGGAAGUAAUCAAGUUUAAUAUUUAUGAUGCAAUGAAAUUUCCUAAUGAUAUAUCUCCUGUCUAUGGUUUAGAUGUAAUUGAUUGCUUAAGUCGAUAGGUCUUUGAAUUAAAAUAAGAUGACAAGCUCAAUGUUGUUCUAUGCAGGAACAUUAAUCCGGAGAAUGUGGAAGGCAAAAGAAGCAUGGAAGAAGUAGAAAUAUGGGAGACAACGUGGAAAUCUGAGAUGCUAGUAACAGACCCCAUCAUCCAAGCUCAUAACUAGGAUUUUCCCUUUGAGAUUAUGUGUGACGCUAGCAACUACGCUGUGGGGGCAGUAUUGGGGCAACAGGUUGGCAAUAUUCCUCAUGUUAUUCACUAUGCCUUCCGUACUCUCAACGCUGCACAGUGCAACUAUUCCACAACUGAAAAAGAGCUCUUGGCUGUAGUAUUUGCUCUGGAGAAGUUUCACUCUUACCUUCUUGGCACAAAAGUAAUUAUCUAUUCUGACCAUACAACAUUCUGAUACUUGAUAAAAAAGGUGGCAAAACCGAGACUCAUCUGUUGGAUACUACUCUUUCAAGAAUUUAAUCUGGAAAUCCGAGACAAGAAAGGAAAGGAAAAUCUUGUGGCUAACCACCUAAGUUGCCUUCCCACAGAACUGGAGUCAUGCCCAAUUAAUGAAGAAUUUCCCGAUGAACAACUGCUUGCUGUCCAAUCAACCUUCCCCUGGUAUGCUGACAUCAUCAACUACCUGGCCACUGGCGAUUUGCCCAAACACGAGAAAAAGUGAAGAGCGAUUCCAAAUACUAUGUCUGGGAUGAGCCAUACCUAUAGAAGUACUGUUCUGACCAAGUGAUCAGGAGAUGCAUCCUGGAAUAAGAGAUAGCUUCAGUUUUAGCCUUCUGUCAUUCACAUGCUUGUAGAGGACACUUUGAUCCACGCAAGAUAGCUCAGAAAAUCCUUGAGUAUGGUUUAUUUUGGCCCAACAUAUUUCAUGAUUCUUAUUUUUUUUGUAGGUCAUGUACCAAAUGCUAGCAAUCUGGAAAUCUGAGUAGCAGAAACCAAAUGCCAUGACAUCCAUUAUGGUCUGUGAAAUCUUUGACAUAUGGGGGAUAGACUUCAUGGGACCAUUUCCAUUAUCUUUUGGAUACACUUACAUAAUACUUGCUGUAGAUUAUGUGUCAGAAUGGAUAGAGACUAAAGCAACCAGAACAGAUGAUGCCAAUGUAGUGGAGUUUAUCAAGACUUAUAUUAUUUCCAGCUGUGGCAUGCCUAAAGCAAUUAUUAGUGACUGAGGAAUCCACUUCUUCAACAAGGUGAUGGACACCCUUUUCAAGAAAUACCAGGUCAUUCACAGGACAUCCACUGCGUACCACCCACAAACGUGCAAGCUGAAGUGUCAAACAGAGAAAUCAAAGCUAUUAUGGAAAAAACAGUUUGCUCAAACCGAAAAGACUGGAGUAUGCGCUUUGAUGAUACUUUAUGGGCCUAUCGGACUGCAUACAAGACACCUAUAGGGAUGUCUCCGUACCGGUUAGUUUAUGGAAAAGCAUGUGACCUACAUGUUGAACUAGAACACAAAGCUUAGUAGGCUGUUAAAAACUCCAAUCUUAGCAUUGAUGAGGCAGGUUCAUAUAGGGGGUUGCAACUAUAAGAGUUGGAAGAGUUAAGGAGUGAUGCAUAUAACACUUCUUGGAAUUACAAGGCCAGAACUAAAGCUUUACAUGACAACCAUAUUUUCAGAAGGCAGUUUAAUAUUGGCGACAAGGUUUAACUUUUUGAUUCACGUUUAAAACUAUUUCUAGGAAAACUAAGGUCCCAUUGGAUUGGGCCCUUCAUUGUUGAACACAUUUUUCUCCAUGGUGCUAUGAAAAUUUGAAGUUUAGGUACAGGGAAAAUUUUUAAAGUCAACGGAUAUUGCUUGAAGCCAUAUUAUGAAGGGUUUGCAAUUCAAGUUGUUGAGAACAUCUCCCUGGGUAACCCACCUUUUUCGGUUUGAUCAAAUCAGGAAUGUCCAGCCCGCAAAUUUAAACCAGGGUGCUUACUGGGAGGCAACCCAGUGGGGAUGAUUUGCCUAAAUCAUAACUCAAAUCGCAUAACUAGAAGGCUGUGAGACUAUUACUAACUAUCCCGGGAAAACCUCUCCCCCCUAUCACUUUUAUUUGUUUUGUUUUAUUUUUCACUUACUUUCGUUUCUGCUCUCUUACCCUCUAUGCCAGGUGUCCUCUCAAGCAAACACUUUCCGAAAGAACAUGGUGUGAAGCAAGAUGGUGGGCACUACUAGACCAGGCCAAUGGCACCGCCUAGGCCCCCCCAAACCGGUGCACGAACCCACGGAUAGUGAGAAUGAGCCAAUCGUCAACCCUCAAUCCGUUGUAGACAUUGCCACCGAAAUUGAGUCAUCGGUUGUACCAUUGCUGCACACUUCAUUACCGCAAUCGCUUGUCGUCAGCACCUACCGAUGUCGGCCACGAGCACUGCCCAUGACACUGUUUUCUGAACCACAAGCCAAAAGCAUAGAGACACACCAAGAAAUGCCAUCACCAUCGCCUUCUCUUCUAGCCCUUCAUGGACAGAAGCGUUCUGUGCCAACGCCAUCAUCCUAGUGCCCUAGCACUAGGCGGCGCAUCAAUUCUUCCACCAGUGGGCCAACCACAUCCUCUGAUUACCAUAGCACCCCCAGUUCUAGUUGUUAUUUGCCCAAGUCAUCGCCUUCAGGUCACUCCUUGAAAAUCCUGGUUUUUAAUAAGUAGAUUGAACGAACUAGGUACGACACUUUUUCUCUCUCCCUUACAUACCAGGUGAGUUUCUGCACCUAGACACAUUGCAUACAUUGGGUAAUCGGGAAGAGGUAGAAGCUUUAAUCGAUGGUAUUGGUUGGAGAACAUUCUUUCACUUGCGCAUGCCUGCUUUCACUGAACUUGUUCAUGGUUCUACUGCACCUUGUUCUUUGACAAAACUGCUACGCUCACUGUCCACACACUGGACAUUGUUAGCUUUUGGCUAUUAGUACACCGCUUUCAUAUGUCUAUGAUUGAGUUUAAUUCUGCACUGGGUUUUAAACCUUAAAUUCUUAUUUGUGAUUUUCCUUAUGAUUUUGAUGUUGCUGUUGCCUAUUCUGAUCUUUGUGAUAAUCCUCCUGAUGCAUACUGCCUUAAUAAAUCAAAAGAUUUAUUUUUGCACAAUCCAUGUUUUAAAUACUUGCACAGAUUUUUGGCUUACACUUUUUCUGGACGCAAAGACGCGUCAAACAUUUUAACCAAAAUUGUACUUUUUUUUUCUUUGGUGCAUGGUGUCUGGGCGCACGUUCAACUUUGGAUUCUGGCUUGCCACCCAGAUUUCUGGAAUCUUAUCUUAUCACCGUCCCCUCAUUCUUAGCCUUGUUAUGACUUUGCUUGUCGUUAAUCUGCACCUUUUUUUAUCCUGAGCAGACUGGCCUUCACCAGACUGGUGAACCAAUCCCCUAGAUCUGCAUAUCUUAGAUGACAUGGGGUUGCUUCGCAAGGUGGGUGGUGCUUUCUCACUAACCCCUGCAAGACCAGUAGUGCCAUGAGCGUGUGUUUCAAAGGAAUCACCCAGCAUUAACAGCAGCCCAGGCAGAAGCACCACAAGCAACAGCUCCACCAGCAGCAGCUCCAGUAGAGGCACUAGCUGGUGCUCCUCCUAAUCCCUCUAUAGAUGCUCGAUUGGAUAUAAUUGAUGCUCAUAUUCAGCAUAUGGAGGACAUAUUGCAACUCCUGGUUAAUCACUUUCUGCCUGGGCUCACCAACACCAUUGAUUUAGCCAUGGAUUUACCCAAAUCCACACCCUUGGGAAGUUACUCUCUUACUCCAUAUUUUAUUUUCCAUUGAGGAUAAUGUUUAGAAUAGGUGUGGGAUAUUACUUUGAUAUUGGCUUAUAUGCACUGCUGUAUAUACAAUUGUUCACAUAUUUCUUCUCAUCUUUUCACACAUGCAUAGAAUUUCACAGAAUGUCAUAAUUUUCUUUUUACCAAGCAUGUCAAAAAAGUCAUAAAAGCCUCUCUCUCAUGACCUUAUUUGUUUGCUCAUCCUUUAAACCUUUAUUGAAUCACUUACAGUUGGUUGCAUUUUUUUUUGGAGUUUCUUUUUAUUUGAAUCCUUUUGCUCACUAUAGUUUAAAUGGCUAUCAUUAAUCAAAGGGAGAUGAGCAAAUCUGAAAAUUGUGUGUGAUAGGAAUAGCUUAUGCAGUGAUUAGUGCCUUGAUUUUCCCAAACCACAAUAGCCAAAUCAUAAAAAAAAAAAAAAAGAGAAAAGCAGAAAAUUUAAAGUACACAGCACAAAGUAAAACUUACUCCACUGGUCAAAGAUUAUGAGAAGAGCUAGUAGCCACUUGAACAAUGUGAUCAACUGAGUAACUAGGGAUGGGUAUCACAAAUAUGCACCUUCGCGUAAAAAGAUUGAUGAUUUUUCAAGCAAGAAUAAAGUGCUUAAAGUUGAAUGUAUACUAAAGUGGUAAGGGCAGGUCGUGCUAAAAGCUGCAUAGUCAAACCAAAGAAUAUUUGUGUAUGAAUGAAAAUAUUAAUUCUCUCUCUUUUGAGGAAAGCACCUUUGAGCCCCGAUUAAUAAAAAGAAACAAAGAAGGGAGAGAUAAACUUAGUGCGUGUUGGCAACACUGUGAUGCUUUAGUUUAGGAGUCUAGAGUAUUAAACUAAGUGGACAUCAGGAUCAAGUAGAAAAAGGUUUGAUUGUCUAAAUUGUCUUAUGUUUGAGGACAAGCAAGAAGUUAGGUGUUGGGGUAUUUGAUCGAACGUAAUUUCAAUAUAUUUUUCAUACUUUUCUUAACUAAUUUUUAAUUUUUUAUUAUAUUUUGCAGAAAAACAAAAAGAGAAGAAGAUUUGAUAAAAAGUGGUUUAAAAGUGUUGAAAUUGACUUGACCAAUGAUUUGGACAAACCCAUAAGAUGAUCAUACUGCAUAGAAGCCAUAAAUAGCCUAGACCCGCAAGCUGAGUUAAUAAUUUUCAAAUGGUGGAUUUGACCAGCGAUUUGCUUAAACCACUGGACAAAUCAACAGUCUGCACAAAACCUAACAGUGAGCGGAAAAAAUUCAAAUUUGAAAAUUAGAAGACCAGGCCUCCUCAUUAAAAGCCGCGGGACCCACGCGAUUUCUGCUCCUUUAGUGCGACACUAUAUCCACCUCAAAUCAAGGAGUUCUAUCCAUAGAAGAAACAUAUUAAAGGAAGGAUUCCUAAUUCAAAGCAAAGAAGAAUUUCUAUUCUCAAAGGGACUUUACUAGGGUUAAGCACCUAUAUAAGCCCAUCAUUGAGGACAAUCGAAACAUCUCUUCUUCAGCAUCGAGCCUUCAUCUUGAAUUCUCUCUUCUCUUUUGUGUUUUCUUUGAAAUCCAUGAGUGGCUAAACUCUUUAUUUCUAGUUGAAGUUUGGGUGAAAUUUCAGUUUAUACAUGAAUUGUGAGAUCUAGAUACAAUUCUUCAUCUUUUAUUCUUUCAAUAUUUAUGCAAAUUUAGUUCUUCAUAUUAUUAUUGCUUUGUUAUUUGAUCAAUAGGGCCUAUUGUUCUUAAUCUCAAAGUAAUAUAUUGCAAGUUUGAAUGCUUGAAAUCCAUAAUUGUUUAGAUUAUUCAACAAUAAGUAACAAUUAGUGUAACCCACUAAAAAGUUGCAUGAUCUAACUUAGACUCACCACGCGGUUUGGUUGGUUGAUUAGAAUUAGGUCUCUCUAAUUCUUAAAGCGGGUGAAAAAUUAAAUCCUAGAGACGUUCUUUGGGCGAUUUAUUGGUUAGGGUUAAUUAGCGAACGUUUUCUAAUUAAUUUAAACUUAAGGAGAGAUUGGUUAUGUGGAGUGUCUUCCAUAACUAUAACUAAUUU